UACGAAGGGGGCUAGCGUUGCUCGGAAUCACUGGGCGUAAAGCGCACGUAGGCGGACUCUUAAGUCGGUGGUGAAAUCCUGGAGCUCAACUCCAGAACUGCCUUUGAUACUGAGGAUCUUGAGUUCGGGAGAGGUGAGUGGAACUGCGAGUGUAGAGGUGAAAUUCGUAGAUAUUCGCAAGAACACCAGUGGCGAAGGCGGCUCACUGGCCCGAUACUGACGCUGAGGCACGAAAGCGUGGGGAGCAAACAGG
rnacentral:rRNA from 1 species